AGAGUUUGAUCCUGGCUCAGGACGAACGCUGGCGGCGUGCCUAACACAUGCAAGUCGAACGGAACUGUUUUGAAAGAUUUCUUCGGAAUGAAUUUGAUUUAGUUUAGUGGCGGACGGGUGAGUAACGCGUGAGUAACCUGCCUUCAAGAGGGGGAUAACAUUCUGAAAAGAAUGCUAAUACCGCAUGACAUAUCGGAAUCACAUGAUUUUGAUAUCAAAGAUUUUAUCGCUUGAAGAUGGACUCGCGUCCGAUUAGUUAGUUGGUGAGGUAACGGCUCACCAAGACCGCGAUCGGUAGCCGGACUGAGAGGUUGAACGGCCACAUUGGGACUGAGACACGGCCCAGACUCCUACGGGAGGCAGCAGUGGGGGAUAUUGCGCAAUGGGGGCAACCCUGACGCAGCAACGCCGCGUGAAGGAUGAAGGUUUUCGGAUUGUAAACUUCUUUUAUUAAGGACGAAAAUUGACGGUACUUAAUGAAUAAGCUCCGGCUAACUACGUGCCAGCAGCCGCGGU
rnacentral:rRNA from 1 species